rnacentral:sRNA from 1 species
CUGGACAGCAAUGUAAGUGUGAAGCGUCUUUCAAGAGAGUAUGGUGUUGGAGUGACCACCAUACAUGACCUGAACAAACAGAAAGAUAAACCGUUGAUGUUCUGUGCUGCAAGUGGUGAAUAGAGGUUAAUGAAAAAUAGAAAAAGCACUCCAUGAAGCUAAAAAUGAAGAUAUUGAUUGUGUAUUGAAACAGUGAAUCCAUCAGUGUUGGCAGUGAACACGUGCCUCUUAAUGGUAUGCUGAUCAUGAAACAAGUAACGAUCUAUCAUGAUGAACUGAAUGUUGAAAGGAGCUGUGAAUAUUCAACACGCUGGUUGCAGAAGUUUAAGAGAAGAUACGACAUUACAUUUUUAAAGAUUUGUGGUGAUAAAGCAUCUGAUGAUCAGGAAGCAAUGGAGAAGUUCAUUGAUAAAUUUGCCAAAGUCAUGGCUGAUGAAAAUCUGCCAGAACAGUUUAUAAUGCUGAUGAAAUAUAUCCCUGUUCUGGUGUUAUUGUCUCAAAAAGACACUGGGCUACAGUUGAUGGGACAGCCCCUCCAGGAAUUAAGGAUACCAAGGACAGAAUAACUGUCCUGGGAUGUGCUAAUGCAACUGGCAUACAUAAGUACAAACAUGCUCUGAUAGGCAAAACCUUUCACACUUGUUGUUUUCAAGGAGUGAAUUUCUUACCAGUCCAUGGUUACCCUGACACAAAAGUAUGGAUCACCACAGACAUCUUUUCUGAUUGGUUUCAUAAACACUUUGUACCAGUGGCUUGUAUGUACUGCCCAUAAGCUAGACUGGAUGAUGUAGGAGUUUGUUAUUCCUUGAUAUCACCCAAUUCAUCCUCCAGCUAAAAUUCUCAAAACUAAUGUUUAUGCCAUGUACUUUCCCUCAGAUGUGACUUCAUUAAUUCAGCCAUGUGACCAGGGUAUCUUUAGAUCAAUGAACAGAAAAUAUAAAUCCACUUUCUUGAAUAGCAUGCUGGCAGCAGUGAACAGAGGCAUGGGUGCAGAAAAUUUUCAAAAGGAGUUUAGUAUAAAGAAUGCCAUAUAUGUUGUUGCCAAUACUUGGAACACAGUGACAAAGACACAGUUGUGCAUGCCUGGCACAACCUCUGGCCUGCAACUGUGUUUAGUGAUAAUGAUGAACUGUGUGUGUGUGACUUUGAAGGAUUCUGUAUGUCAAGUGAAAAAAAAUGAUGUCUGACCUCCUUACAUAUGUAAAAAAUAUACCUUCAGAGUUCAGCAGUAAGCUGGAAGAAGUAGAUGUCAGAGAAGUUUUGAACUUUGAUAAUAAUGCUUCAGUUAUUCAUUCAUUGACUGGUGGUAAAAUAGUUGAAAUGGUUUUGAAUCAGGGUUAUGAUAGUGAUGAAGAAGGUCAAGAUAACACCACAGAAAAGGUGCUUAUAGAAGAAGACAUGGUGAAAAUGUAUGGUGGGCAUAUUGAAGGAUUACGGCAGCGUGCAUUAACAACAGAAUGAAAAACCAUGUCAGUUUUUAAAAUUGAAGAGAGACUUCUGAGCUAAAAACCAUGUUAAUGAGGCAGAUGACUCCACAAGAAGCAUUUUUAAAAGCCUUCCAGCAGAAUGUCUCUUCAUCCCCCAUAGGAUCCACUUCCUGGUCCCUCAGCUGCUUCUGAUGUUUCUUCUUAACUAAAAAACACAGUUUAUAGUAACCUUUUAAUAAAAACACAGCAUCAUAGGUGAAGACUGAAAGCCUGCUGUUGUUCGUAGCUGCUUUUUCCUUUUUUUUUUUUUUUUUUUUUUUUUUUUUUUUUUGAGACGUAGUUUCACUCUUGUUGCCCAGGCUGGAGUGCAAUGGCGUGAUCUCGGCUCACUGCAACCUCCGCCUCCUGGGUUCAAGCAGUUCUCCUGCCUCAGCCUCCCGAGUAGCUGGGAUUACAGGCAACCACCACCACGCCUGGCUAAUUUUUGUAUAUUUGAUAGAGACGGGGUUUCACCAUGUUGACCAGGCUGGUCUUGAUCUUCUGGCCUUAGGUGAUCCACUUGCCUUGGCCUCCCAAAGUGCUGGGAUUGCAGGCAUGAGCCACUACCCCCGGCUCUGUGGUUGGUUUUGUUUAAUAGCUGAAACAGGUAUCCUGGUGAUGCUACUAUGCUGCUUAGUUGUCCUGACACAUUAUUUUUUCAGUGUUAAUGGUAUGUCAUAUUUUUACUGUUAAGUACUUAAUGUAUGAAUAAAUGUAAGAAAACACUUGCCUAUUGUUAGCAUGUAGAUUAAGAGUCAGGAAUGAUGACUCUUGUUGACAUGGGUGGCUGAGAUAGUGACACCUUUGCUUUCUGAUGGUUCAGGGUAUACAAACUUUAUUACAGGCACAAAAUUAUCAAAAAUACGGUAUAAAAUUACCUUAAGGCUAUGUAUAUAAGGGAUGUGUGUAUGUGUGUAUACACACAAAAAUAAAUUUUGUGUUUCCACUUGGAUCCCCUCCCUAAGAUAACUCAUUGUGUACAUGCAAACAUUAGAAAAUGCAAAAAAAAGAAAAAAAAAAGAAAUCUGAAACAGUUCUAGUCUCAAGCAUUUUGGAUGAGGGAUACCCAUCCUCUAUUUUAUCACCAUUUUCAUGCUGUAUUAAAAUGAAAUUGCCAACUCAGUUCAAAGGAAUUUUUCUUCUUAGCUUUACGUUGUUGAUUCAUGGUGGAGGUGAACAAGCUAUCGACUGGUGGGUUGGAUACCUUUGUCCAGAGAGGUCCUUGUGACAUAUCUCAUGGCCCAUUACCUAGGUGAUGUGAGUCUUGCCUUCUGCCUGGAAUAAAGUUUUGUUGGAAUGCAGCUAUGCCCAUUUACUAGUGUAUUGUCCAUAGCUGCUUCUCUGCUACAAUGUAGAUUAGCAGUUGUAACAGAGACUAUAUGGCCCCCCCAGGUUAAAGUAUUUAUUAGCUGUCCUUUUAUAGAAAAAAAUGGCCCACAUCAGAUUUAUGGAAAUGUCUGUUCCUUUGUUUACGUUUUGCCCAUGACUUUUUAACACUUUCACAGACAUUAUUGUUCAUUAUUAUAUGUCAGAAAUAAACUCACUUUUUGUAAACUUUCC